rnacentral:tRNA from 1 species
GGGGAUUUAGCUCAGAGGUACAGUGCUGCUUUGCAAAUGCAAGGUCCUGAGUUUGAUCCCCAGUACCCUCC